rnacentral:rRNA from 1 species
UACAGAGGUCUCAAGCGUUGUUCGGAUUCAUUGGGCGUAAAGGGUGCGUAGGCGGCGCGGUAAGUCGGGUGUGAAAUCUCGGAGCUUAACUCCGAAACUGCAUUCGAUACUGCCGUGCUUGAGGACUGGAGAGGAGACUGGAAUUUACGGUGUAGCGGUGAAAUGCGUAGAUAUAGUAAGGAAGACCAGUGGCGAAGGCGGGUCUCUGGACAGUUCCUGACGCUGAGGCACGAAGGUCAGGGGAGCAAACGGG